CCCUUAGAUGUUCUGGGCUGCACGCGCGCUACACUGAUGCACUCAACGAGUUUACGACCUUGCCCGAUAGGGUUGGGUAAUCUUUUUAAAAUGCAUCGUGAUGGGGAUAGAUUAUUGCAAUUAUUAAUCUUCAACGAGGAAUUCCUAGUAAGCGCGAGUCAUCAGCUCGUGCUGAUUACGUCCCCGCCCUUUGUACACACCGCCCGUCGCUCCUACCGAUUGAGUGCUCAGGUGAAUAAUUCGGACUGCAGCAAUGUUUGGAUCCCGAACGUUGCAGCGGAAAGUUUAGUGAACCUUAUCACUUAGAGGAAGGAGAAGUCGUAACA
rnacentral:rRNA from 1 species